CUUCAGGAGGAACUUGGCUUGGCAAUGUCGGUCCCACCGUACCCAAAUUUUGAAAUUCUUCCCUUUUUUUUGCAAACAAUACAAGAUUUUUUAUAGCAGAAGGUUCAACCGUACUCAGCUUUACUUUUUCUCGAAAAAAAUCGACUCCAUGUUUAUCACUACAAUAGUUGGAAUUAGGUCUUGUGGGAUUCGAGCAUUCUCGUAACCGGCAUUUUCUUUUCCAAGUAGUUAUACCCUUUCCUUCUUCUGUGCAUUUAGGACAAAAGUACUGUACAGUUAAAUCAUUAUAAGAUUCAGGUAUAUUAACGCAAGUGCCAUGAAACCAAUCUUCGCAACCAUCACAUCCUAACAUCCAUGAUCCAUCAUCAGGCUUUUGGCAUAUACAAUACAAUGGUCUUUGAUGAUCGGCUGUAGACAGAUUGAGUUGGCUAUUCGCAUUUCCUCGGUGUUUUCGUGGACCCCUUCUAUGAGCUGAUACGGGUGGUUUUUUGGGUAUUGUAGGCUGUUGAAUGACUUGCAUUUCUAUGUCUGUUUCCGUUGAGGAAGAAUCAACGUGACCGUUGACUUCUUCAACCUCCAUUUUAACAGAUUUAUUGAGAAUUACGUUGGCGUCUUUCUCUUCCUCAUUGUUAGCUGUCUCGAUAUGAAAAUCAGUAAUGGUGCCUCUAUUCGAAUCCUCAAAUUUUACAAUUGAUUCUACAUGAGUUUUUUCAUUUUCCUCAGUAUUCUCUUGCGUUAAUUCCAUUAUUGGAAUUUCAGUUGUCUAAGUCUGUCAAUAAGUAAAAUCUAAAGAAAGCGAGCUUAAGCACAGUACACUAAAUGCAUUAAAAGGAACUACAAGCCAAACCAAAAUACAAAAGAAAUGGGGUCUGUCAAAACAAGUUGAAAUUUAAACAAGUCGUAUAUUAAUAUCAAGCUUAAUUAAAGGAGACAAUUAUUUCAACCUUGACGGACGAACUAACCAUGCCUAUAUAACUCACAGAGGUUACUGCGGUAUCUUCAAGAAGAUUAAACAAAAAAAAAAAAAAAGGAAAGAACGCAAAUACACCAAAUAAUAAAUAUUUUUAGCCCAGAUAAUCUCAUCCAAGACAAUCACUAAUGUAGCAGAAUUGGAUAGAAAACAAGACAAAACUGCAAAAGAAGAUUCCAUUAAAUUUCGUGAAAUUAAAUCAAAUACUCAUAAACACCCAAAUAUUAACCCAAUUUGCGAAGGCCAGCUCGUGUUCUGUGUAGCUUUUUUUGGUUUGCAUAUGCUUCAUUAGAAAGCUCGUCUAACAUGGAGUUUUGCUCGACAACUUCUUGAUUAAUCAUUUUCGAAAGCUCCUUCUGCCUUUGAAUAAUAGGCAAUAACGAUUCUGCUUGCAUAUCUUGAUCUUCCAUAGUUUGAUUCUGCAUGUUGUACAGUCCUACAUUAUCAAGCUUUUUUGUUGUCUGUGUCUCUGGCAUUCUGUUUUUUCCAAGGACUCUGUUCAAAGAGGUAUUAGAUUGUUUGUCAGUAGAUGCAGAUAAUGGGCGAAAGGGAGAACUAGGAUUAGAAGAGUUUAAUUGAGAUGAGGCAGAAGGAGGAGCGACUGGGCUGUUUGCAUUUUUAACUAACCGUUUAAAUGACAAGAAUUCAGAACCAAGCUGUUCUAACAUAUCUUUUCGUCGAAGGAUUUCUCCUGGACCAAGAGCAUUUGCUAAUUCUAAUUUGUCUAACGAUUCUGAAAGGUUAUCCAUUAGCGACUUUAUUGCAUAGACAUUCUUUGUUUGAACUCCUAUCGUAAUGCUUUUUCCACUCAUUAAGUCAACUCGGUACAUAUGUAAAUUACGUUUACAAUCUUGAAAUACUUGAAUCCAAUCUGUCGGACCCAAAAACUGACCCUGUGUUUCAUCUUCCGAUUCAUCUUUAAUAUUUAGAAAUUUUUUAACCACAGGCAUUUUUAUCCAUGGCGUUUCUGAAAGGCAUUGAACGUAAGCUUGUAAAGCAAGUCGUCGAGAUUCACGUAACUUUUCAUUUGUCACAGUUGAAGAAACCCAAGAUUUAGAGGGGAGUUUGCAAAGUCUACUGUUGUAGUCAUUUGGCCGAAUUUGAGCAUCCAAAGCAACGAAUUCAUUGAACCGACGAAAUACAACAUGUUUCCCACCAUUCGGAAAUGCUACUUCAAUAUGGUAAACCGUCCAUCGUGAAUAUUCAUCAGAAGACUAGUUGUAAGUAAAAAUUAAAGGAAUAAAGCUUACUUGAGACGUUUCUGGUAUUUUAAUUUUUAGCGCCAUACUUGCUAUGAACAGGUUGAUCAACAAUGAGUUCAUGAACAACAGACUACUGUAUCGGAUUUACUGCACUAUCGUUAUAAAACUGUAUAAUGUAGAAUUUGAGCUUUCAAAUAGUAUAGGUUC
rnacentral:lncRNA from 1 species